rnacentral:rRNA from 1 species
AACGUAGGAGGCAAGCGUUAUCCGGAGUUACUGGGCGUAAAGAGUGCGUAGGCGGACCUGUAAGUGGGUGGUGAAAGCGCCCGGCUAAACCGGGCGAGGUUCAUUCAGACUGCAGGUCUAGAGGCGGAUAGAGGGGUGCGGAAUUCCGGGUGUAGCGGUGAAAUGCGUAGAGAUGUGGAGGAACACCGAUGGCGAAGGCAGCCUUCUGGGCCAACACUGACGCUCAUGCACGAAAGCGUGGGGAGCAAACAGG